UUUCAAGAAAAGGCCCUCAGCUCCUGAACAUGUAACUUUUCUGAAUUCAAUGACAGUGACUCCUUUUGAUAAAGGGAAUUUCCGUUCGUUUGUUUUAAAAAAAAAUUUUUUAACGGUCUCUAUUUUUAACACUCUCAGCUGAAGCCCCAAGGUUGGCUUCAUGAGGCCCAGGGUCCAGGACAUCUCCUUUCCCAUGAAACUGUUCUGCUGAAGCACCUGGGGGGUGGGGGGGCUUUGUAUUCAUUCAUUCAUCCCACAUUCACUCACUCAUUCAUCCCACAUUCACUCACUCAUUCAUUCAUCCCACAUUCACUCAUUCAUUCAUCCCAAAUCACACAUUCAUUCAUUCAUCCCACAUUCACUCACUCAUUCAUCCCACAUUCACCCACUCAUUCAUUCAUCUCACAUUCAGUCAUUCCUUCAACACACAUUCCCUCAUUCAUCACACAGUCACUCGUUCAUUCAGCCCACAUUCACUCACUCAUUAAUUCAUCCCACAUUCACUCACUCAUUCAUUCGUCCCACAUUCACUCACCCAUUCAUUUCAGUCACUCACUCAUUCAUUCAUCCCACAUUCACUCAACCAUUCAGCUCAGUCACUCACUCAUUCAUUCAUCCCACAUUCACUCACUCAUUCAUCCAAAAUUCACUCAUUCAUUCAUUCACAUUCACUCACUCAUUCGUCCCACAUUCACUCAGCCCACAUUCUCUCACUCACACAUUCAUCACACAUUCACUAGCUCAUUCAUUCAUCCCAUAUUCACUCACUUUUCACUCAUCCCACAUUCAUUCACAGGCAUCCAUCCAUCCAUUCCACAUUCAUGUGUCCCUGACAGAUGUCAGGUGUCAGGUGGUGGGACCUGUUCCAGGAAUUGGAGACAGAGGGCAAGCCAUGCAGAAGGCAGGUAAACCAGACAGUGUUGGAGUGACCUGGGCUCUGGGAGAGAAUCAAACAGGGGACUUAUCAAACUGUGAGUGUUAGGGAGGCUUCUGAGGAGGUGACAUUUGUCAAACCUAUGACCUUGUGUCCUGUAUCCUUC
rnacentral:lncRNA from 1 species